AACAAAAUGUAAAACUCAGAUUAACGUAUAUUUCCGUAUACAUAGCCUACUUUAGCAAAAUAUCUCCAGAGUGACGUCACAAAUUGCUAGCCAGUGAAAGAGAAAGGUGCGCAAAAGGAUACAUAUAUAACUUCACGAUGAUUCACCCGUUAUGUUCACAGUUGACAGAACAGAAGAACGAAUGAAUAUCAAGCAAUGAUUUGUGUAACAUUUUCUUAAGUGUUAUGAGUACGUAAUAAAUAUUCUCGCAGAAACUGUAUGGUGUUAUGUAGGCUGAAGUAUCUAUUUAUUCGAUUUUUUAUUUAUUAGAAAACAAUUUGAUCCGAUUUCCGCAUAGUAGACGCAGCGUCGCACUGCGUGGCUGCGACUGGUUGAUAAUCGCUGGCUCCUCUGUGACAUUGUGGGCAUUGGUGAAUCAAGCUUGUCGUGAAUGUCAGUGCGCUUGCAAACUGACUCCCCUGCUGCAGCUCAUACACCGGUCGUCACUGGAUUCUGAUGUACUUUGUAAUAAUUAAGAUAGUUUCUGAACCAGAACAGUUGAUAAGCUACGGUCCUGAAUCAAAAAAGGUAAAUUUAAAAUGAGUCGUAACUUUAUCUUUGAGCCUCAUUUAGAAAAUGUUAACAUACUCACCUUUCAUUGUUAGGUACAUAUUUUUUUACACAAUCCCGCAUAACCCUGCAAGUUAUAAAAAUUCUUCCAAUGUAUGAAUUUCCCAAUUACAUACAUAUUGAUAAUGCCGAAUGUGGACUUUAUAUAUAUAUACACAUGCAUACUUACACAUAUAUGUAUAAUAAUUGAAAGAAAAUGUUUGCUUCAAUGUCUCCCCUAUAAAUAAUAAAUGAAUUACCUAUAUGAUUAAAUAUCCGUGUUCUUAGUGGAUAUAACUAGGAAAAUCUGCAUAAUUUGUAUGUAUUUUGGUAGUUAUUAAAAAAGUACAAUUAAACUUACAAUAUUAUGAAUUGUCAUACCUCUAAUGUUAAAUUUUACUCUUGUACCGAUAGCACACUGUAUCUAAGUAACAUAAUUAAGAUGUCACAGAUAUAAUAUUUAAUACUUACUAAUUUUAUUCGACAAUGUGUUUCCGAUUCAUUUGACUUCUUGCAAAUGGGUUAUAAAUUAAGUAUAACUCCAGAGACGUACCAAAUUAGGUUACCUUGAGAAACUCAUGACGUCAGCGUGUAUGGUUUAUGUGUUAGGGAAAAUUUAUUCAAAUACUGUGUAUUAAAAAAGUGCAUGACAUGGUA